GACGAACGCUGGCGGCGUGCUUAACACAUGCAAGUCGAACGGAAAGGCCCUGCUUUUGUGGGGUGCUCGAGUGGCGAACGGGUGAGUAACACGUGAGUAACCUGCCCUUGACUUUGGGAUAACUUCAGGUAACUGGGGCUAAUACCGGAUAGGAGCUCCUGCUGCAUGGAGGGGGAUGGAACGUUUCGGCGGUUGGGGAUGGACUCGCGGCUUAUCAGCUUGUUGGUGGGGUAGUGGCUUACCAAGGCUUUGACCGGUAGCCGGCCUGAGAGGGUGACCGGCCACAUUGGGACUGAGAUACGGCCCAGACUCCUACGGGAGGCAGCAGUGGGGAAUAUUGCACAAUGGGCGGAAGCCUGAUGCAGCAACGCCGCGUGCGGGAUGACGGCCUUCGGGUUGUAAACCGCUUUCGCCUGUGACGAAGCGUGAGUGACGGUAAUGGGUAAAGAAGCACCGGCUAACUACGUG
rnacentral:rRNA from 1 species